GACAUGAAUGCUAUUAAAGUUUUCACUCUCCAAAACCUUUGUUGAGCAUGGACUCUUUUCAAUAAGUGAUUUUUCUCAUGUGGGGUUGCAUGAAGGGUUUAAUAAGAACUCAAAUAAAUUGCAUUGUUUUGAAAAAUGAAUGCAUGAGGAUUUCGUUAAACAUUCCUUAUGGUAUGCUUGUUCCCUUCUUGUUCACUCACUGGGUUUAUACUCACCGUUUUCAACUUCAUGUUUUCAGAUCAAGAGGUAGCCGGUAACUAGGACGAGGUGUCCUCGUAGACUUGUAUCCAUCUUUUGGUAGGUGUCUCGACAUUCAGUAGCUGUACAUUCAUCCGAGUCUCUCUGCUGGAAGUCGAGUAUUCUUUUGUUGUGUAUAGACAAACCUAAUGUAAAUUAUUAAGAUACAUGUUGUAGACAAUGUAUAUACACUUGUUUGGUAUGCCAGUAUGAGGUGGCAAUGUUUAAUAUUAUUUUGAUCCUAAGUUAUGAAAUGUGACUUAGCAGUUUAUGAUGGAAUGGUG
rnacentral:lncRNA from 1 species